rnacentral:rRNA from 1 species
CCUACGGGGGGCUGCAGUGGGGAAUAUUGGACAAUGGGGGGAACCCUGAUCCAGCCAUGCCGCGUGUGUGAAGAAGGCCCUCGGGUUGUAAAGCACUUUCAGUGAGGAAGAACGCCUGGUGGUUAAUACCCAUCAGGAAAGACAUCACUCACAGAAGAAGCACCGGCUAACUCCGUGCCAGCAGCCGCGGUAAUACGGAGGGUGCGAGCGUUAAUCGGAAUUAUUGGGCGUAAAGCGCGCGUAGGUGGCUUGAUAAGCCGGUUGUGAAAGCCCCGGGCUCAACCUGGGAACGGCAUCCGGAACUGUCAAGCUAGAGUGCAGGAGAGGAAGGUAGAAUUCCCGGUGUAGCGGUGAAAUGCGUAGAGAUCGGGAGGAAUACCAGUGGCGAAGGCGGCCUUCUGGACUGACACUGACACUGAGGUGCGAAAGCGUGGGUAGCAAACAGGAUUAGAUACCCUAGUAGUC